rnacentral:rRNA from 1 species
ACCAGACUCCUACGGGAGGCAGCAGUGGGGAAUAUUGCACAAUGGGGGAAACCCUGAUGCAGCGACGCCGCGUGAGUGAAGAAGUAUCUCGGUACGUAAAGCUCUAUCAGCAGGGAAGAUAAUGACGGUACCUGACCAAGAAGCCCCAGCUAACUACGUGCCAGCAGCCGCGGUAAUACGUAGGGGGCAAGCGUUAUCCGGAUUUACUGGGUGUAAAGGGUGCGCAGGCGGAUUUUUAAGUCAGCGGUCAAAUCGUGGGGCUCAACCCCAUCCAGCCGUUGAAACUGGGGAUCUAGAGUGUGCGAGAGGUAUGCGGAAUGCGUGGUGUAGCGGUGAAAUGCAUAGAUAUCACGCAGAACCCCGAUUGCGAAGGCAGCAUACCGGUGCACAACUGACGCUCAGGCACGAAAGCGUGGGUAUCGAACAGGAUUAGAUACCCCCGUAA